UACGAGGGGGCAAGCGUUGUUCGGAAUUAUUGGGCGUAAAGGGUGCGUAGGCGGUUUUGUAAGUCUUGUGUGAAUCUUCAGGCUCAACUUGAAGACUGCACGAGAACUGCAGGCUUGAGUGUGGAGAGGUGAGUGAUUCCUGUGUAGCGUGAAUGCGUAGAUAUCAGAGACACUGUGCGAAGCGCUCACUGACCACAACUGACGCUGAUGCACGAAGCUAGGAGCAACAG
rnacentral:rRNA from 1 species